CAGUAGCCGCGGUAAUACAGAGGGUGCGAGCGUUAAUCGGAUUUACUGGGCGUAAAGCGCACGUAGGCGGACUUUUAAGUCAGGGGUGAAAUCCCGGGGCUCAACCCCGGAACUGCCUUUGAUACUGGAAGUCUUGAGUAUGGUAGAGGUGAGUGGAAUUCCGAGUGUAGAGGUGAAAUUCGUAGAUAUUCGGAGGAACACCAGUGGCGAAGGCGGCUCACUGGACCAUUACUGACGCUGAGGUGCGAAAGCGUGGGGAGCAAACAGGAUUAGAUACCCGCGUAGUCCCUGUCUCUUAUAC
rnacentral:rRNA from 1 species